rnacentral:snoRNA from 1 species
AUUAAAUAAUGUAGGGCUUUGUAGAGCAAUUGUAGGGAUAGCAUUGUACCAACCCCAGAAGCUACUGAGUUGCCAUUUUGUCCUGGUACAGUU